rnacentral:tRNA from 1 species
AGCCACCAGUGAGGAUUGAACGCACGACCCCUGGUUUACAAAACCACUGCUCUAACCACUGAGCUAUGGUGUU